UUCAUUGAGUUUUGUUUUGGAGAAGGUAGAAGAAGAUCGAUGAACAAUCCCACAAGCCUCAAUCCCUCUUCUUCUCUACACUAUACAGCUUUAAUCCAUCUUCUAGGUAAUUCAAUCUCUCUCUUUCUACAAACUUUCAAUUUCUACAAACCCACUUCUUCUCCAAAAAUUCCCAAUUUCAAUCCCUAAUUUUGAAAAUUCAUGUUUCAUGUUUCAUGUUUGUGAAAUCCGAGUUCAUUGGGUUUUGUAGAUUCGAAAUCAGAACUCAAACACAUAGCUUCAUAUUUCUGGGUUCUGGAUUCAUUGGGUUUAUGCGUUUCUGUUUUGAGAAGCACCAUGUUUCUUUUUUCUGCUGCCAUUCAGCUUCCGAUUUGAAAAAUGCAUGACAUGGGAUUAGAGAGAAAGAGAUGGGUUGUUGUUGAAGAUGAAGAUCAUGGGUCACUAUGUUUGAAGAAGAUGAAGAUGAAAGAGAGUUUGAUGAACUUUGAAUAAUGAGAUGAAGAUUUAAGUGUUAAAUAUUGUUUGUUUUAUAAAAAUUAGUUUUUU